GACGAACGCUGGCGGCGUGCUUAACACAUGCAAGUCGAACGGAAAGGCCCUGCUUUUGUGGGGUGCUCGAGUGGCGCACGGGUGAGUAACACGUGAGUAACCUGCCCUUGACUUUCGGAUAACUUCAGGAAACUGGGGCUAAUACCGGAUAGGAUCUACUGCUGCAUGUUGGGGGUUGGAAAGUUUCGGCGGUUGGGGAUGGACUCGCGGCUUAUGAGCUUCUUGGUGGGGUAGUGGCUUACCAAGGCUUUGACGGGUAGCCGGCCUGAGCGGGUGACCGGCCACAUUGGUACUGAGAUACGCCGCAGACGCCAACGGGAGGCAGCAGUGGGGAAUAUUGCACAAUGGGCGGAAGCCUGAUGCAGCAACGCCGCGUGCGGGAUGACGGCCUUCGAGUUGUAAACCGCUUUCGCCUGUGACGAAGCGUGAGUGACGGUAAUGGGUAAAGAAGCACCGGCUAACUACGUG
rnacentral:rRNA from 1 species